UACGGGGGGGGCAAGCGUUGUUCGGAAUUACUGGGCGUAAAGGGCUCGUAGGCGGCCAACUAAGUCAGACGUGAAAUCCCUCGGCUUAACCGGGGAACUGCGUCUGAUACUGGAUGGCUCGAGUUUGGGAGAGGGAUGCGGAAUUCCAGGUGUAGCGGUGAAAUGCGUAGAUAUCUGGAGGAACACCGGUGGCGAAGGCGGCAUCCUGGACCAACACUGACGCUGAUGAGCGAAAGCCAGGGGAGCAACAGGG
rnacentral:rRNA from 1 species